GUGUUUGCUUUGGCAGCACAUAUGUGGAAAUUGGAACCGCAUAGAGAAGGUUAGCAUGGCUUCUCUGCAGGGAGAACACGCAGAUCUGUGAAGCAUUCCGUAGUUUU
ensembl:snRNA U6 U6 spliceosomal RNA